UCUCUCUCUCUCGCCUCUCGAAGUGGCCUGAUGUAGACCAGAAGUGCGCUCUCUCUCGAUCGAAUUGGUCGGCGUGACCAGAAGUGCUCUCUCUCUCCUCUAUAAUUGUCCUGUGUGACCAAAUGCGCUCUCCUCCUCUCUAAUUGUCAUUGUGACCAGAAGUGCUCUCGUCUCUCCCUACGCUCCGCUCAAUUGUCCUGCGUGACCAGAAGUGUUCUCUCUCUCUCUUCUAUCUAAUUGUCCUGCGUGACCAAAAGUGCUCUCGUCUCUCCUCCGCUCCUCUCUACAUUGUCCUGCGUGAACAGAGAGUGCUCCUCCGCUCUCGCCUCUCUAAUUGUCCUGCGUGACCAGAAAGUGGCUCUCUCCCUCUCCUAAUUGUCCGGUGUGACCAUAAUCCUCUCUCUCUCCUCCUCUCCUCUCUAAAUUGUCGUUGUGACCAGAAUUGCGCUCUCUCUCUCCUCUCGAAUUGGCCUAGUGAUGACCAAAGUCCUCGCUCUCAUCUCUUCGCCUAAUGUCCUCGUGACCAGAUGCUCUCUCGCUCUCAUCCUAAUGGCCGUGUGACCAGAAGUCCUCGCUCUCUCAAUUCUCCUCUCUAAGUGUCCCUGCCGUGACCAGAAGUGCUCGCUCUCGCAGCCUCCGUCACCCUCCUCGCUAAUUGUCCUGUGUGACCAGAAGUGCCUUCUCUCGCUCCAUCGCUAAUGUGGUCCUGUGUGACGCAGAAGUCCUCUCUCUCCCUCGCUCUCGCGCUCUUGCUAAUUGUCCGCGUACCAUAAGUGCUACUCCUCCUCUCUCUCCCUCUCUCAUCUCUAAAUGUCCUGUGUGACCAAAUGCUCUCUCGCUCUCUCUCUCUGUACUGCUCUCCAUCUGCUAAUUGUCCUGUGUUAACCAGAAGUGC
rnacentral:lncRNA from 1 species